UACGGGGGGAGCAAGCGUUGUUCGGAUUUACUGGGCGUAAAGGGCGCGUAGGCGGCCAGCACAAGUCAGUUGUGAAAUCUCCGAGCUUAACUCGGAAAGGUCAACUGAUACUGUGCGGCUAGAGUGCGGAAGGGGCAACUGGAAUUCUUGGUGUAGCGGUGAAAUGCGUAGAUAUCAAGAGGAACACCUGCGGCGAAGGCGGGUUGCUGGGCCGACACUGACGCUGAGGCGCGAAGAGCCAGGGGAGCGAACGGG
rnacentral:rRNA from 1 species